rnacentral:misc_RNA from 1 species
AAGUCGUAACAAGGUUUCCGUAGGUGAACCUGCGGAAGGAUCAUUAACACGUAUCCAAACGUAAAAAACCCCCCCCGUGAACAUUCAAUCCUGCUCUUGUAACCCGCGUAGUUCGCAAUCUCUGGUAAAUCAUAGCCCGGAAAGUAGUUUUGAUUCAGAGACCUCUGGCUACGUGAGAACAUUGGAACAGUUACAAUCGAGCGGUAGUUUCAUAGGCAUUGUUUCCCCAAGCAGUUAGUGUCUGAAAGUGUCACUGAUUUCUGUAGACCGUACACUCGGGCAGGAGCUAUGCCAAAGGGUCCCCAUGCCCCCUUAUAACCCCACAGUUUAAUGUGAAGCUCAAUGUAAUACAUUGGGUAAAAAAACCGAACAACUGUUAACAAUGGAUAUCUUGGUUCUC